rnacentral:rRNA from 1 species
CCUAACACAUGCAAGUCGAACGGUAACAGGAAGCAGCUUGCUGCUUCGCUGACGAGUGGCGGACGGGUGAGUAAUGUCUGGGAAGCUGCCUGAUGGAGGGGGAUAACUACUGGAAACGGUAGCUAAUACCGCGUAAUGUCGCAAGACCAAAGAGGGGGACCUUCGGGCCUCUUGCCAUCGGAUGCGCCCAGAUGGGAUUAGCUUGUUGGUGGGGUAACGGCUCACCAAGGCGACGAUCCCUAGCUGGUCUGAGAGGAUGACCAGCCACACUGGAACUGAGACACGGUCCAGACUCCUACGGGAGGCAGCAGGGGGGAAUAUUGCACAAUGGGCGCAAGCCUGAUGCAGCCAUGCCGCGUGUAUGAAGAAGGCCUUCGGGUUGUAAAGUACUUUCAGCGGGGAGGAAGGGAGUAAAGUUAAUACCUUUGCUCAUUGACGUUACCCGCAGAAGAAGCACCGGCUAACUCCGUGCCAGCAGCCGCGGUAAUACGGAGGGUGCAAGCGUUAAUCGGAAUUACUGGGCGUAAAGCGCACGCAGGCGGUUUGUUAAGUCAGAUGUGAAAUCCCCGGGCUCAACCUGGGAACUGCAUCUGAUACUGGCAAGCUUGAGUCUCGUAGAGGGGGGUAGAAUUCCAGGUGUAGCGGUGAAAUGCGUAGAGAUCUGGAGGAAUACCGGU